rnacentral:rRNA from 1 species
UACAGAGGUCUCAAGCGUUGUUCGGAUUCAUUGGGUUAAAGGAGCGUAGGUGCCUUAUAAGUCAGUGGUGAAAUCUCUGGGCUUAACCCAGAAAUUGCCAUUGAUACUGUAGGGCUUGAGUAUAGUUGCCGUUGGCGGAAUAUGACAUGUAGUGGUGAAAUACAUAGAGAUGUCAUAGAACACCGAUUGCGAAGGCAGCUAACGAAACUAUAACUGACACUGAGGCUCGAAAGUGCGGGGAUCAAACAGG